GUGGGGAAUAUUGGGCAAUGGGCGAAAGCCUGACCCAGCAACGCCGCGUGAAGGAAGAAGGUCUUCGGAUCGUAAACUUCUAUCCUUGGUGAAGAUAAUGACGGUAGCCGAGAAGGAAGCCCCGGCUAACUACGUGCCAGCAGCCGCGGUAAUACGUAGGGGGCAAGCGUUGUCCGGAAUGAUUGGGCGUAAAGGGCGCGUAGGCGGCCUGGUAAGUCUGGAGUGAAAGUCCUGCUUUUAAGGUGGGAAUUGCUUUGGAUACUGUCGGGCUUGAGUGCAGGAGAGGUAAGUGGAAUUCCCGGUGUAGCGGUGAAAUGCGUAGAUAUACGGAGGAACACCAGUGGCGAAGGCGGCCUGCUGGACAUUAACUGACGCUGAGGCGCGAAAGCGUGGGGAGCAAACAGGAUUAGAAACCCGUGUAGUCC
rnacentral:rRNA from 1 species